CAACUGGAACAAAAAAUCGGGACUAUCUAUUGCUUUCAUAUUCUGCAGAUCGUAGCCCAACAACAUUAACAGUACUGUAAAGGGUUUAUGAGAAAACAAUGAGUAAUCAUACAGGUGGAGGCGGCAAGUCUAGUAAAAGCCAAAAUCCAACACAGUCAUCUGAAUCCAAGUCGUUUUGGAUGGCAAGAAAAUGUAAACCUCCACAUGCCUUCUUUGCAGCUUCCCAGGCUUCAGCUUCAGCUGUUGUUACAGGAGUUUUCUUAUAGGUAGCAUAAACAUAACGGGUUGCAAUUCCAACUGAUAGAAUCAAGCAAGCACGAGAAGUGUCAGCUUCGAUCGCGACCACUUCCAGCCCGUUCAUCCACGCUGCAAUAGCAAACGAAAAGAUUCGAAUAGGUGGCUCAGUCUUACGAGCGUCACAAAGUUCUAGAAGGCAUACUUACAAUUAGAUGCACUAAAAGACCACAAGAUAGUAAGACAGGACUUCAUGGAGAUGGAAGUGGGGAAGUCUGUUAAAAAAUAAACAGUGUUCAUGGCAAUCACAUUUUUUCCCAAGGAAUAAUAAGUGCUCGUAACAAUCAUCACAGGAAUCAGAUUCUUGUAUAUUUUGAUAUACAUUGGGAUUCACCAAAAAUUAUGGAAGCAUCUGCUGUCGAUACAGCAAUUUCAGUUCCAACUCUUUAAGUGCAUAAUCAAGUAGAGAUACUAUUUCCCAAAACUCAGAAACAAGAAAAAACACACCAUGCUUCUUUCCUAUAUAAGAACGAUGGUGCAGAGCAAUGUGAUUAUCACUUAAGAUGUCAUCAGCAGGGAUAUCACGAAUGCGAUUAGGGCCCAGUGAAAGCUAACUGUAUCAAUGACAUCAUGCCCUGAAGGUCGUUUUAUCCGAUGAACAUUUUAAAAGAUUAAGAUAUGCAGCAGCUUUAUGAUCUCGGUGAAGUGAGUUUUGCACGAUUGUCCACAAAGCCAAUGUCCAUGCAUCUGAAUAGUGCAUGAAUUUCAGAACUUUCUAGUCCAUGUUCCCUUUUCUGUGAUUUUUUAAAAUUUAACCCAGUAUCUUGUACGAGGAUCAAGUUUCCCACGCCACGACAGAAUUAGAAUGCACAUGGUAUUAAUAGGACAUAACCAGACGAAUCAUUUCAAUAUACGGUCUUUGACUAUACCAAUAUUUACAUGAAAUAACAUUUCCGAGGCUACAGAAGAUGAAAUUAGAGGGAGAGUAGACCUGCUAAUGGUUCAGCACGUGAAGAUGCAACAGCAAGUCCAGGUAUCAUUGUCUUGUCAUCAAUCUCAAUUCCCAAUAAAUCCAAAUCCAGACUUGCACCAAAAAAAAAACUUGUCUCUAAUGAUGCAAUUUCCUCUCGGACAGCUGAAAGCAGGAAAAUACAUCAGCAAAGAACAGAGCAGGCUUUCAAACAAAUCAAAACAUACAGUAUUUCUAAGCUGGCAGUAUGUUAUUAGCUUCAGAAAGCAUGGCUCUUAUAGCCUAUGCCACUUUUAAAAUUUGAACUUUCGGUAAAAGUUGUGACCCGAUAGACAGUGUGACCCGAUAGACAGUCUGCAACACUAAAUUAAAAUAACCUUUACAAAUGUCAUUCAUAUGCAAGGCAGAUUUAUCUUAUGUGUCGGAUGGAGGCCAAAAUAUAGCAUUCUCAGUGUUAUAUUUGACAACAACAGUUAGUUACUUCUACCUGAGUAAGGUAAUUGGACGAAUGCCCAUUUCUCCCCAAAAAGAUUGUCUGGAAGUUCCAUUGGGAAAGGGUUAUCUAAUGCCAGAAGUGGUUUAGCUCCCUUUUGGAAACCAGGAUGACGCGUAUAUACAGUCUCAUAGCGCUCCUCGAGCCAUAGAAGUAGUGAUAUACACUGUAAAACAUAUCAAUUAUCAAAGGUGUGACUGUAGAACAUAGAAGUUCUAAUCCAAAACUCAAAUCAUACUUCAAACUAAAAUGUGGAAGAAGCUAGAGAAUCCUCAAUGCACUCCAUGACACAAGUGCAUGAAAGUAGUGUGGCAUGUUUGUGGUUUUGAGUUAUCUUAAGAACCCCCUAAAUUUCCUUUCUCAUCAAUCAGCAACCGAAAAAACUGCGAUAUUUUCUCUUGUCUAACUUGGUAAUAUGCCCAAUAUGCUUUUCGGAAGGCAGCUAAAAUAAAAGGUUUAAAGCAUAAAUAAACCUAUUAAAACAUCUAAAUUUAACCUUCAAUGGUUAUGACCAUUUCGACAUUUGAUUGAAACCACCUCAUUAAUCAUACUCGUAACACAGGAACGGAAAACAAUACCUACCCGUUUACUUGGAAUAGGCUUUAUACCUAUCUCUUUACAUGCUUUGGUUAUAAUUGUCUGCAUCUGAGACCUGUAAACCAAAAAACAAUCUUAUCAUCAAUCACGUACCACCUUUAGUAAAGACAAUCACCUAUGCAGCUGUGUCACUGUGUGUAUUUGCGCUAGUAAAUAUAUAACAGAAACAGAUAUAUAUAAUGUACAAAUUAAUUACCGUAAAAGAUCACCUGAAGAACCUGAUUCUUUCAGGCAGGGGGACACCAAGAUCCUCGCUAAUGGAUACAAUAGCAUCCUUCAAAGUGAUACUAUUGAUAACAUUGUUCGGGAAGUAUUUUGUGAAUUGAAGUGACAAAGAAUCAUCACAAACAACAAGCUCCCAUACUUUCUUGCCUCUGACAUCAAGUAUAGGCCUGGAACAAAAAUCCAACUCCCACUCCACAAUGCUAUCUGGAUCAGUUUCCGGGUCAAGAUAGACCAUUUCUGUAGUUGGAUCAUCUUCUUCGUAGUCCUUCUUUUCAGUCUCCACUUCUUCUUCUUGUGUUGAAACUGAGAGUUUGGUUAUGAUGUUUGAUUGGAAAUGGAGUGGUAUUACGUGGUUUUUUGAGGGUUUUAGAGACAAAGGGAAAGGUAUCUCUGAGGGUUUUGAGAAAGAAGUGAUUUUGGAGAUGGGUUUGUGAGGAAUUCUGGUUGGAUUGAAGCUAAGAGUAGCCAUGGUAGCUCUGUGACGAAAGAGUCGAUAAGCAUGGUGGUUCGGCAGUUAUACAUCUACCACUCGUCCGUUGGUUGUCAUGGGCCGGGCUGGGAUAAGAUUGCUGAUCCACGAUAGUACUUGGAGGUCCAUGCCCAACCUUCGACGAGUCGGUUUUUUAACUCGAGGAAUCAUAAUUCAUAAGAUUAAGACUAGUAUGAUGAUUAAAAAUAUUUAUUUUCCUUUUCAAUUUUGAUUGAUUAAAUCUAUUUAAUAAUUUUUCAUGAUUUGAAAAGUGAAUUUUAAAAUUAUUGAUACAAUAUCCAUGAUAGUAAUUAUAAGUCCAUGCCCCAUAGUUGAGGGGAGGGCGGAUUCCGAGAGAUAUAAAAAUUAUUUUUUUAAAAUGAAUAAUUAUAAUUUCAAGAGAUUAAUUUAACACUUAAAUAUAUUUAUUUUAUUUUUUAAUUUUAAUUGAUGUGAAAGUAAAUCAAUUUUGUUAUUUGAAAUGUAUAUUGUUAAUAUUUUCUGACAACAAAUUUAGUCUCAUUUGAUUGACUUGGCCGGACCGAUCUACCUUCAAUCUUCCGUCGACUUCCCCUUACCCCUUGCAAAUCUUCUUCAUCAUUAUUAAUAGCACUCUGAUGAAAUCAAAAUAUAACUCUCACUACUUUAACAGAGAUGAUAACAAUCACGUUUUUUUUUUAUAUUUUAAAGUAUUUUUUUUAUUUUUUUACUUCAAAUUUUUUUUUAUGUUCUAAGAUAAUUUUAAUAUAUAAAUAUCAAAAAUAAUUUUUAAAAAUAAAAAAUUAUUUUAAUAUAUUAAAAAAUAUAAUUUAAAAAUCAAUAAUUAUUACACUCUUAAAAACACCAGCCACUUAUGUAUCCAUUACACAAGUCUUUGGUUUAAUUUCAUUUAGUAUCUUUAUUGUUUAAUGUCAAGAAUGUCCAUCAAUAUCAAGAUCAAGGACAAUUAUAAUAAAUUUUUUAAGGAUCAAAUUGAAAGAUAUUAAAGUUUAAUGACCAAGUUAAAACAAAUUUUAAAUUUGAGUGACCUAAAAGAAGAAAUUUAUCAAGUCAACACUAGUCAUGGAUUGUGAAAAGUGAAAUAACAUUUCCUCUAGUUUCUUUGUUAAAAAUAAUGUUAAUGCUAAUUAAUUAAUAAUGGAUAAGUAAACAUUGAUUCAUAGAAUUCUACCAAGCAAUUCUAAGGUGGAUCGAGGGAAAAAAAAGAGAGGUCUAUCAAUAGAACCCACGCUACUUGCCUCAAAUAACACUUUCGUGCCCUAUAAAGCACAGAGGUCUCUCUACGGCGAAGAAUGGCGCGGGAGCCACUUUUACAGUUUCGGCGGCCGGUAUCUUCCUCUAAUGUAAACCUUAAUCUCUCUGUUACUUUCUCAUAUGUUCACUUGUGCAAAUCUAUUUGGGUGUGAGUCAGUGUAUUUAUUUCAACGUUUUGUUUCUUUCCUGUUUGAUUAAAUGCCUGUUAGAGAGUACUUUCUCUUCUUUCAUCCCCAAUUUCCUAGCACCCAGAACAGUUCAUUCUUAUGCAUUCACCAUAGCACUAAGCCCCAACAGGAAUUUAAUAGUCUAAUGGCACGAAUCCCAAGCUCGAGAUGUCUCAGAGUUCUUUCAAGUCACGUCUUUGCAAUCUAACCCGGAAUUUGAAUAGAAAAGAAAAGGAAAAAAUAUAUCAUCUAGGCUUGAAUGGAGUCGAUAAUUCAAGAAGGUGAUUAGUUUGAUAUUUCCAUAGGGAGAUUUGUAGUAGAGCAUGUCAGCUUGGUUGCUGGGUAUAAUAUAAUAUAUACGGUGAUGUAGUUUCUAUUUAAUAUGGAUAUAGGUACCUAAGAGGAGCAAGCUGUCUCUGAAUAAAGAGAGAAAGAGAUGGUGAAGUUUUCUGGGUACUCUUUGAUUUCUUCAUUUGCUCGUUUUCAUUGUAUUAUUCACAAAAAGCAACGCAGAUUUGCCAGCAUUAGAUUUAUUUUCCAACAAUUCAACCAAGUCAAGAAGAACCCUUUCUGCUUGUGCUACUAAACAUCAAUUACAUAAUAUAAACACUAACACCAAGAUGGGUGCUGAGCGAUUUUGUCCUCCUUUGUUUAGAUGCGUAUCCGCUUGUUUCAGUCUCUCUUGUUCGUUUGUUUAAUUAAGUUGAUAGAAUGAAGUUUUCUUUUUAAUUGCUUUCGAGUCAGUGAAUCAUAAACAAGAAAGAAUUAUUUUUUAUUAAUUAAAACAAGAAAGAAUACCUGUCAAUAAUAAUAAUAAUAACAACAACAGCAGCAUGAUUUAUUUUGUUACACAAUCAUUAAAUCUGUUUUGAUUGCAUGAGUUCUCUCUAACUUGACAAUUUUGCAUCAAAACCUUAGUUUGUAUUGCGUUUGUUUUUGUGUUUAAUAUAUAUAAUUUUAGAUUGUUUUGAUAUAAUAAUGUGAAAAAUAAUUUUUUUUUAAAAAAAUAAUAUUAUUUUAAUAUAUUUACAAACAAAAAAAAUAUUUUUAUAUUUCCAACUAUCCUAGCAUAUUAGACUUAACAACUAUUUAAAAAUUAAUGAUUUAAAAAUUAAUGAUUUAGUAAACAAUGAUUUUUUUCUUUUUAUAAGUAUUAGAAAUUUGAUUUUUUUUUAAAGUGAAAAUUUGUUUAGUGAUACGAGUGACCGGUCAAAAUUUAAAUAUUAAUUAUUUUUUUAAUUUUCUUAUUAAAAUAAUACCGUUUAAAUUAUUUUUCCCCCGGUUUUAAAACUAUACAUAGCAGUUAAUGACCGGUAAUUAACCACAAAAGGAUCCCACUUUUAAAAAUGCCAGUGACAAUUUUAUUGAUCGCGAGUAUAAUCCUGACCGUACACAAUCGACGCGCUACUAUAAAACGAAAUUGAAAACUUACACGCACCCGUAACCUAUCCACCAAGUACAGAAACGGAAGAUCAUUCCAUCGACAAAACCAUCUCUAUUUUCCCCAAAAAAAAAAGUCCCCAAAAUCUAAUUUUCACCUUCAACAAUUAAUUAAUAAAUAAAUAAAGGAACCACCUCUAAAUCCUCUCUCCAAAAAAUAAUCAAAACUCCUCAAUAUGGCCUUUCACGUAGCUUGCCCAAUUACAUGGUCAGUAGUGGUAUUAUCUUCACUACUAAUAACACCAAACCCCCCUUCUGUCUUUACUAUUUCUUCUCUUUUAUGUCUCUCUCGCGAGGGAGUUCUCUCUCUUUUUUACAUGGUCGACUGAUACGAUAUCUUGUUUGUUUUGGCUCUCUCUAAUUUGCAGUCGCCGAAUUUGUUUUUGCUCCCUAGGGUUUCCGCGAGAUCUCCACUCUACGAAACCAAAGGCCGACUUCCUGUUCGAUGUAGCGAGAAUCGAUGAGUUUUUGAAGGAUCCUUUGGGAAUUAGGGCUUCCAGGGAAGGAACUGUCCUGGUUUCCGUUCCUAAGGUUGUGCCUGUGCCGGCUCCGAUUCCCCCGACGCAUUCGCUAGAGGUCGUUUCGGCGAGAGAUAGAGAAGGUGAUGGUGGUGUGGGGGAGGAGGCUUUUUCAACGCAGACUAAGCGCGUGGCUAUUCAAAGGCAGGCUGCUGCUGCUAAGGCAUCUGCCGAGUAUUAUGCUAAGGUCGAGUCUGGUGAUACCGUAAGAUUUUUGUUUCCUGGUUGCUGUGAAUGAAUGUGGUCUUUAAUGUGAGGAUGUUUUUGGUUUGUUAAGGUUUUGAACUUUUUAUUUUCUUGGGAAUGGUGUGAAUUGUGAUUGUGUAGGAUAAUCCAAUGAUUGGCCACUCGAAUUUGUAUUAGUUAAAUUUUGGUUUAUUGGAUACCUGUGUUGAAUUUGGGAUUCAGGGGCGUUCUGGAUAGCUAGUUUAUUGAAUUUGAGCUGAUUUUUGGUGUCUGCAGUUGCGACUUUGAUUUUUUUUUUUUGUGAUUUGGAGGUAAAUGAUGAAAUGAUUAUCUUCUCCCAAAUGCUAUCUAUAUAAUUCAAUUAAUAGAAUAGAAGUAGUUAAUUUGACUGAAAUGUUUAGUUUGGAUUUUGAAUUGUUCUUGAGGAUUUGGAGGUGGGUUUUUGAGUUUGACCUAAUCUUGGAUUUGUUUAGACAUUAAAAAGCAUGGAAGUCAGAACAGUUGAAACUCAAAACAAUCACCAGCAUUCGCUCAUUUUCUGAAAGCAGAAUAUCUGUAACUGUUUUUUGUUCUGAUAGUUUUGUUAUUCAUUUGAGCUAGCUUAUUUAUAAUCCUGAGGGAGAUUGAAAAGAAAUUAUGAACUCUUAUAGCUUAUUCAUUAUUUGUUUGUGGAUUUGGAUGUGGGUUUUUGAAUUUGACCUAAUCUUGGAUUUGUUUAGACAUUAAAAAGUACGGAAGUCAGAGGCAGUUGAAACUCAAAACAAUUACCAGCAUUGGCUCAUUUUCUGAAUACUGAUUACUCGUAACUGUUUUUUCAUUCUCAUAUUUUUGUUACUCAUUUGAGAUAGCUUAUUUAUAAUCCCGAUGGAGAUUGAAGAAGAAAUUUAUGAACUGUUAUAGCGUAUUCAUUAUUUGUUUGUUAUCGGGCAGCAUGGUAUUGGAACCCUUUUAUUGCACAAAAACUUUCUCAUCUAGAUGCACCGGCAUGUUUCCUUAGGCACAAAUCCACAGUUGAUGAGCUAUGGAAAUCAAGUAAAAUGACUUUUGGCUGCUAUAGUGAUGACAUAUGCUAUAUCAUUUGCUAAAUACCAUCACCAUUUGUUUAAUUCAGGUUGCCUCAAAAGAUACUCCUGGAGAAGAUGCGGGUCCAUUAUGUCAGAUAUGCUUUGUGGGUGAAACAGGGGGAAGUGAGAGAGCGAGGAAGAUGCUCCCAUGCAAAAGUUGUGGCAAGAAGUACCACAGGAGCUGUUUGAAAACUUGGGCUCGGCAUAGAGGUAAAACUCAUUGGGUUAAAAACACUGAAGGCUGCUGUUUUUUUGUUUAUUCUCAUAGGUUGAUUGAUGGCAGAUUUAUUUCACUGGAGUUCGUGGACCUGUCCAUCUUGCCAAACUUGCGAGGUACUCAUUGAUAUACAUUGUUGAUUAAUUAAUGAAGUUGCAUACUUACUUUUUUUGAGGCAAGAAAUGUAGGUAAAUUCUAGAUUUCCAAAGUGGCCUUCCUACCUGGCCAUGAAUGUCAUUUUAUGCUUCUGUGCAUCUGAAUGUAGUAUCUCUUGACAACUGUAAGGCCAUGAAAUGUUAAGAGUUAGAGUGAGUUCAUUCUAUUGUUCUGUGUAUUCUAUUCCUUAAAGUCCUUCUCAAAACAGAUGAUUUAUUUAUGCUCUGCGUAGUUUCCUUGUGGUGGAAGCUUUCUGGACACACAGAACGUUUUUAAUACCUUAUCAUUGCUCUUACACUUUAUAACUUCUGCUGUCCGUAGGUAUGCCGAAAGACUGGAGAUCCAAAUAAGUUUGUGUUUUGCAAAAGGUGUGAUGGUGCUUACCACUGUUACUGCCAGCAUCCUCCACACAAGGUGAUAUGUUAAUUGCUUGUUUUUGGGUGUCAUAUCUAGAUUAUAAUGGCACUACUAACAGACAUUCCUGCAUAGUGCAGAAUGUCAGCUCUGGACCAUACUUGUGCCCCAAACAUACAAGGUGUCACAGCUGUGGAUCUUCUGUCCCAGGAAAUGGACUAAGUGUGAGGUACUGUUAUCAACAGUUAGCCUUUCCACAUAAAUAUGGUCUUUUUUUGAACAAUUGAUGCUCAGUUAUUCUUUUUAAUUCUGUGGUUACUUGCAAAAAUGUGAAAAAUGCAUAUCUUGUGCCAGUAUAUAGAUAUUUAUUGCUUUGUGACUUAUGGAAUACCUAUAUAUAUAAAUAAUGUCAUUUUUGGUAUCAGUAUCUCUUAAGCAUGCCUUUCAGCACCGUACCUUUUAAUGAGAACGCUAACCCACUUUUCAAUCCAUUAUGUUUGCAAUUUUAUAUGGUGUGUGACACCUUAUCUGAGUAUAUAUGACAAUUUGGAAAGCGAUUGUUAUGUGCAGGGGAAUCGAUUAUGAAUUUGAUGAUCUAUGCCCUUUUCGAUAGAUAUAUCUAAUUUAGACUACCCAGAUGAUCUUUAGAAUGCAAAGUAAUUGAAGCCAAAGAAAAUAAUGGAACAUGUUUUGGUAGUUAGUGGGAGGAGUUGUUUAUCGACAUGCAAUAGUUACAUUUAUAAUUCUAGUGUGAUUGUACUUUUCAACAGGGUUUAGUCUUCUUUAUUUCUUACUAUUAGCAGGUUCAUUUAUCAUAUGUUUUUAAAACAUGCAGGUGGUUUCUGGGAUACACUUGCUGUGAUGCUUGUGGAAGAUUAUUUGUGAAGGGAAAUUAUUGCCCUGUUUGCUUGAAGGUAUUGUCGACUUCAUGCUAUCUUUGGGUUGUUACAAACUUUUCAUUAAAAAAAAAAACUGUUCUAUGUUAAUUACCUACUGCUUGUAGACUGUAUUGAUCAAUCAUUAUAUUUAAAUGCUUCAUCAUCGGUCCAAAAAAAAUGUCCCAGAUGAUUUUGUUUAGUAACUUGAAAUUUAUACUUUACAAUAUGAAUGAAAUCGAUUAGAUGUCUUGGCUCAACCUUAUAGGUUUAUAGAGAUUCAGAAUCAACUCCAAUGGUUUGCUGUGAUAUAUGCCAGCGAUGGGUGCACUGUCAUUGUGAUGGCAUAAGGUUUGUCUUUCCCCUCUCAAAAUACACAGUGCUAAUGACAUGUUAGGUAUAUUCUGCUGCACAGUUUUUACUUCUUUGGAAUUUUUAAGUGACUUUUCUUGGAUGUAAAUCCUUGUUUAAUGUUCUUAUUGGAUAUCUAAUAAAGCUUUUCCUGAGCAGUUAUUUAUAGGAAGUAGUUUACACCUUUGAGAAAUCAGAUAGCUUAUUCUGAAGAAAUGUUUUGCAGUGAUGAAAAAUAUCUUCAGUUUCAAGUAGACGGAAACCUCCAGUACCAAUGUGCUACAUGUCGUGGAGAAUGCUAUCAGGUUUGUUAAUUGUGGAAAGCUCUCUCUCUGAAGCGUGUACACAUGUGGCUAGUCUUGCUUAGAUGUGGUGUGCUGGGAUGGUUUGGUUUGAACUUCUUUUCUUACUUCAGAAAUUUGGUUUGAACUUCUUUUCUUACUUCAGAAAUGUAUACUGCCAGGUAAAGGAUCUUGAAGAUGCUAUUCAAGAGCUGUGGAGGCGACGAGAUAAGGCUGAUCGAGGUUUAAUUGCAAGCUUGAGAGCCGCUGCUGGGUUGCCAGCCCAAGAAGACAUAUUUUCUAUCUCUCCUUAUUCAGAUGGUGAUGGAAAUGGUCCGGAGGCACUAAGGAAUGAUUUUGGGCAUUCUAUAAAACCCUCUCUCAAAGGGAUAGUCAGCAAGUCACCAAAGAAGAGCAAGGAUCAUGGAAAGAAACUUUGGAAUAAAAAAUAUUCCAAUAAAAAAGAUUCUUAUGCUGCUUCAAUUAGUAAGACUGUACCACUUCAGCAGGACAUUCAUUCUUGUGUACAUGAUUUGGAUGAUUACAAGAAUGAUGACACAGAGUCUCAAGCAAAAGGAGGAUUGGGUAGAUGUUCUUCUCCUGUUCCUGGAAUUGUGAAUCACACUGAAGGGACUUGCUCUAUCUAUCAGCCAGGUGGUUUGAAACACAAGUAUGUUAACGAGGUGAUGGUGAGCGAUGGAGAAAGGACAUCCAAAGUUGUUAAAAUCAAGAGUAAUAAGCCUCGUGAUUUGGAUAGUGGGUAUGAUACUGAAAAACAUGCUGGCAAGUCGAAGUCUGUUAAGGCAAAGAAAUUAGUAAUAAAUUUAGGGGCACGCAAAAUAAACAUCACUAGUCCAAAAUCUGAUGCUCAAAGCUGCCAAGGCGAACAAGAUUGGAAGGCUUCCAAUGGUAAUGAUCCAUGUGUCAUAAAACUGCUCUUAGUGCAAUUAUUAAUAUGUUCUUAUUGACAAAGCCCUUUGUUUCAUUAUUACCAUAUUUUGGUCAUUGCUAAUUUUUUUAUUGCAGUGAUUUCUCUUCAUCCUUUUGCUGAUAAAUUUUUUGGUGAUCAUAUAAAAAUGCUGAUGUUAUCAUCUUACCUACCAAUUCACUGACAUGAUUAAUUUCUGCAAUUUGCACAAGAUGCAGUUGAUCACACGGGGAAAACAAAAGGCUUGAUUAAGUUUGCAAGGAGAGAAGGGAAUUUGAUUAAGUUUGGAAAAGUAAAAGCUGAAGCUUCAAACUUCAGUCCCAAAUCUGAUGGAGGGAGUCAUGCUGAUGGAUAUGAAACCGUUCCCCUAGAUUAUGCUCGUGUUUCAUCAGCUAAAAAGAGCCUUGAAGGAAGCAGGGCGGCAGUGGGACCUGCAGGUGAAGUCACUAAAUUAAGAAGUGACAAAUUAUCUGUGGGAAAGCAAUCAGAGGUCAGGGCUGAUACGCAUACAGAAAGCAAUGAUGAAUCUGGUGACACUCCUAUAUUGCAAUCAUUACAAAAGGAUUCAAAAUUUUCUUUGAAGCUAAAGAUUAAGAAACCUAAUUUUGAAAAUCAGAGUUCUCUGAUUCCUCUUCGUGAAGAAGAAAAGAGUAACAUAAGGGGCCAAAGGUCAAAAAGGAAGAGAUCUUUGAACUUCAUGGAGAAAACGAUGUAUAAUGAAGAUGAAGGUAUGUCACAAUCACAUCUAGACAGUGAAAUGAUGGAGGCUAAUUGGAUAUUGAAAAAAUUGGGUUAUGAUGCUAUUGGAAAGAGAGUUGAAGUUCAUCAGCCAUCUGACAAUUCAUGGUGAGUUUUCGUUUUCCUUUUGGGUGAGGGAUAAAAAGGUAUGGGCCAGUUAGUACACCCAUCAUAUUUCCUGAUUGAUAUACUCCCUUUUGUCAUCCAUCUCAGCCUGCUUUAAAACAAGAAGUGACUUGUUCACGGAAACAUUUGUCAUAUCACGGAAACAAAAAAUGAGGAGGCUGGUGGUGGGGAGGGUCAAUUUGUAAAUUGGUUUUGGAGGAUUCCUCAGUGGUCUAACACAUGCAAUUCCAUCAUUUAUCUAAACCCCAUCCAUGCGCAUGCUUCUAUGUUAUAAGCUACUUGUUUGCUGCUGCUUUAUUGAGUUGAUCAUGAGCAUUAGAACUUGGAAACCUUCAUGUUCUGCUACUCUUUUGAAAUUUGGUUGAAUAUUGGCUUGAUGUUUCUUUAAUAUGUCUGAUGUCUUCUAUACCCAGGCACAAGGGAGUUGUCUCUGACAUUGUUGAAGACACAUCAAUGUUAUCUAUUACUCUAGAUGAUGAUAGAGUAAAGACCUUGGAACUUGGGAAGCAAGCAGUUCGCUUUGUUUCUCAAAAGCAAAAGAGGUCAAAAACAUGAAAGCUGAACUUAUUAUCAAAUAUUGACAAUUGCAUCUGGACUCCAGAUACUCGUCCCAUUUUAUAGUUGAAGAGGUAGUGCCCAUUCCUAAGGGCCACAGAGAAAUCAGUUGCGUAUAUGGCCUGGUGAUCUUUCAUCGGAGCAUUGUUUGCUAUGGUGCUUUUAGCAUUUAUGUGAAAUUCUUUUGUACAACUAGUGAUUAUUUUGACGGAGGGCUAUCCCUCCAGCCCCCCAUACCCCUCUCUUCAUGUGCUCAAAUGUAGCUUGCUUCCCAGUGUUUGGAACCCUGUAUCUAGCUAGGCUUCUAGAAUAACUUUGCUGGUUGAUAAUCAGUACAUGUGCGUAGGAAGUUGCGUUGCCCUUGUUAAUUGUAGUUUAGUUUACAAAGCUCCGGAACCUCUGCUUCUUCUUUUUUUUCAAAUUUAAUUUAAUAUAUGGGUGCAUGUGUAUUAUGAAAUCAAGUCCCUGGUUUUCCAAGCUUCCUGUCGUUAACAGAUGCACUGCGAACUGUAAAUUGGCUCACAGCUGGAUCGAGAAUCAGAGCUGGAUGUAUUGGAUGAUUUUACAAAGAAAAUAUGUACUUUUUACUAAAACAGAGAAAUGACCUGGAAAUUUUAAGCUGGAUGAUAAUCUUUUUUCUGAAUCGCAUUCAAAAUGGUUGCAAAUGUCAUUACCCGGUACUUUUAUGGUAGAAAUUAGCGGUUAAAAUACCACUAUUUUGGCAACAAGUGGGAGAAUGUUUCUCCAGGAAAUCCCCGAUAGUGCUCGACUCUGAUAAACUAGCAAGGAAAGCUUUUUGGGCAACUUUUGCCCUAGGCGUCGCUGCUUACCUGAACAGAGAACCACUUUUAUUCCUUUCAGAUUUUUCUACACAUGAAAACUGUUAACGCCGGAGGUAUUUUGUUACCAAAGCUUGUUCACCCUGUAAGUUAUGAGGGAAUAGGCAGUGAAAUUUUUCAACCUCUCAAUAAUGAUCCAUAUGGUUCUAAAUCAAUCAAAAUCUAUUUAAUGGCAUGAAAAUCCUAUAUUCUUAAGAUAAUCACACACACACACACACAAAAAAAAUAUUCUCCAAGAAGCUUUUGUUAUAGCAAACCUACAAGUAAAUUAUUUAAUUGUUUGACCUCUAGCAGUGUUCCACGCAUGCAUGAAUACUGAUUUUCCUGGUUUCUCCUUUACUUCUUUUUGAGUUUCAAUUAGAUUGAAACAUGUGUUUUAAGUUAAUUCAAAUUUCUUCCAAGAUGGUAGGUUUAACCCUACUUGAGCUAGGCUUAUGUGAAGGCCCACUAUGUUGGGCUUGUACUUCCAACUCCAUGUGGGCUUUUAUGGUGAUGAUCAAGGCUAUCAUGUGGGGUCACAAGCCCAUAGGAAUAUCAAAGCCUCACGCCUAGCAUGCACUAGGAUAUCUCAAAUUCGAUCUAUACUUGAGUUUUUGCAAGAGUUCUAGUGCAAGUGGUACUCUUGAAGCAAAUCCUAAUCACAUUAGGAAUUCUAGUUUCAUGGAUAAAAUUAAACUCUUGUAGAAUUCUAGUCUCGUUAGGACUCUUAUAGGAAGUACUUAAUCAUUCGUAUUAUAUAGACAUUCAAUUAUAUUUUUAUACAUGUGACCCUCUAAGCCCUAAAUCACAUUUGUAAUAAGACAACCUAUGUUCAUGUCCAGCUUUAACAAAGCUAUGCUAUGAUUAAGGAUAUUUAAUGGUAGUAUCCAUAUUGUAUAAGAUAAGUCUCACAUUAUACAGCAUGCAUGUAUCGCUAUAUAGAUUUUUAUUAAAUAAGUAAAUAUAUAAUGUAAUUAAAACAACUUGAAAAGAUAAAAGAAUGCUUUAUUAAUUUUAUUAUAUAACUAUACUGUGUUUACACCGAUAAGCUCCUAGGUUAUAACGCUCACAAUCGGGACGUUCCAUCUCAAUUUCCUCUCUUACCUUCUUCAUUUAAUGUACCUUUUCCAUUGGUAAGAAUGAAGCACUUAUCUUUAUCCAUACUCACAUGAAUAUUUAACUGGAACAAAAAAUCGGGACUUUCUAUUGCUUUCAUAUUCUGCAGAUCGUAGCCCAACAACAUUAACAGUACUGUAAAGGGUUUAUGAGAAAACAAUGAGUAAUCAUACAGGUGGAGGCGGCAAGUCUAGUAAAAGCCAAAAUCCGACACAGUCAUCUGAAUCCAAGUCGUUUUGGAUGGCAAGAAAAUGUAAACCUCCACAUGCCUUCUUUGCAGCUUCCCAGGCUUCAGCUUCAGCUGUUGUUACAGGAGUUUUCUUAU
rnacentral:lncRNA from 1 species